rnacentral:rRNA from 1 species
GGGAAUUCGAUUUUCCGGUUGAUCCUGCCGGAGGCCACUGCUAUUGGGAUCCGAUUAAGCCAUGCGAGUCGAGAGGGUUCGGCCCUCGGCAGACUGCUCAGUAACACGUGGAUAACCUACCCUUAGGUGGAGGAUAAUCUCGGGAAACUGAGAAUAAUACUCCAUAGAUCUAGGAUGCUGGAAUGCAUCUAGAUUGAAAGCUCUGGCGCCUAAGGAUGGGUCUGCGGACUAUCAGGUUGUAGUCAGGGUAAAGACCUGACUAGCCUACGACGGAUAUGGGUUGUGAGAGCAAUAGCCCAGAGACGAUAUCUGAGACACGAUAUCGGGCCCUACGGGGCGCAGCAGGCGCGAAAUCUUCACAAUGUGCGAAAGCACGAUGAGGGGAUCCCAAGUGCUGGUACGUAAGUAUCAGCUGUUUCUUUGUCUAAAAAACAAAGAGAGUAAGAGCUGGGUAAGACGGGUGCCAGCCGCCGCGGUAAUACCUGCAGCUCAAGUGGUGGCCGCUAUUAUUGGGCCUAAAACGUCCGUAGCCGGUUUAGUAAAUGCUUGGGUAAAUUGUGUAGCUUAACUAUACGAAUACCGGGUAGACUGCUAAACUUGGGACCGGGAGAGGCUAGAGGUACUCCUAGGGUAGAGGUGAAAUUCUGUAAUCCUAGGGGGACCACCAGUGGCGAAGGCGUCUAGCUAGAACGGGUCUGACGGUGAGGGACGAAGCCCUGGGGCGCAAACCGGAUUAGAUACCCGGGUAGUCCAGGGUGUAAACGCUGCUUGCUUGAUGUUAGUUGGGCUCCGAGCCCAACUAGUGU